AGAGUUUGAUCAUGGCUCAGGACGAACGCUGGCGGCGUGCCUAACACAUGCAAGUCGAACGGAGAUAUUAAGGAAGCUUGCGAAUUAAUAUCUUAGUGGCGGACGGGUGAGUAACGCGUGGGUAAUCUGCCCAUAAGUGGGGGACAACAGUUGGAAACGACUGCUAAUACCGCAUAUGGUGAGCAAUCAUUAAAGGAGGCCUCUUAACAAUGCUUCCGCUUAUGGAUGAGCCCGCGUCUGAUUAGCUAGUUGGUGGGGUAAAGGCCUACCAAGGCAACGAUCAGUAGCCGGCCUGAGAGGGUGAACGGCCACACUGGGACUGAGACACGGCCCAGACUCCUACGGGAGGCAGCAGUGGGGAAUAUUGCGCAAUGGGGGAAACCCUGACGCAGCGACGCCGCGUGAGCGAUGAAGGCCUUAGGGUUGUAAAGCUCUGUUUUAGGGGACGAAUGUUCAUGGGAGUAAUAUGCCCGUGAAAUGACGGUACCCUAAGAGGAAGCCCCGGCUAACUACGUGCCAGCAGCCGCGGUAAGACGUAGGGGGCGAGCGUUGUCCGGAAUUACUGGGCGUAAAGAGCACGUAGGCGGAGACUUAAGUCAGGUGUGAAAGACCGGGGCUCAACCCCGGGGUGGCACUUGAAACUGGGUCCCUUGAGGGCAGGAGAGGAAAGUAGAAUUCCUGGUGUAGCGGUGAAAUGCGUAGAAAUCAGGAGGAAUACCAGUGGCGAAGGCGACUUUCUGGACUGACCCUGACGCUGAGGUGCGAAAGCGUGGGUAGCAAACAGGAUUAGAUACCCUGAUAGUCCACGCCGUAAACGAUGGAUACUAGGUGUGGGAGGUAUCGACCCCUUCCGUGCCGCAGCUAACGCAAUAAGUAUCCCGCCCUGGGGAGUACGGUCGCAAGGCUGAACUCAAAUGAAUUGACGAA
rnacentral:rRNA from 1 species